rnacentral:rRNA from 1 species
GACGAACGCUGGCGGCGUGCUUAACACAUGCAAGUCGAACGGAAAGGCCCCUUUGGGGGUACUCGAGUGGCGAACGGGUGAGUAACACGUGAGUAACCUGCCCUUGACUUCGGGAUAACUUCAGGAAACUGGGGCUAAUACCGGAUAGGAAUCCUUGCUGCAUGGUGGGGGUUGGAAAGCUUCGGCGGUUUUGGAUGGACUCGCGGCUUAUCAGCUUGUUGGUGGGGUAGUGGCUUACCAAGGCUUUGACGGGUAGCCGGCCUGAGAGGGCGACCGGCUACAUUGGGACUGAGAUACGGCCCAGACUCCUACGGGAGGCAGCAGUGGGGAAUAUUGCACAAUGGGCGGAAGCCUGAUGCAGCAACGCCGCGUGCGGGAUGACGGCCUUCGGGUUGUAAACCGCUUUCAGCAGGGGCGAAGCUUGUGGUGACGGUACCUGCAGAAGAAGCACCGGCUAACUACGUG